GGGUCAUCAUAGAGUCCCGUCCGAUCCCUAGUCGGCAUAGUUUAUGGUUAAGACUACGACGGUAUCUGAUCGUCUUCGAUCCCCUAACUUUCGUUCCCUGAUUAAUGAAAACAUCCUUGGCGAAUGCUUUCGCAGUAGUUAGUCUUCAGCAAAUCCAAGAAUUUCACCUCUGACAGCUGAAUACUGACGCCCCCGACUAUCCCUAUUAAUCAUUACGGCGGUCCUAGAAACCAACAAAAUAGAACCGCACGUCCUAUUCUAUUAUUCCAUGCUAAUGUAUUCGAGCAAAGGCCUGCUUUGAACACUCUAAUUUUUUCACAGUAAAAGUCCUGGUUCCCCCCACAGCCAGUGAAGGCCAUGGGGUUCCCCAGAAGGAAAGGUCCAGCCGGACCAGUACUCGCGGUGAGGCGGACCGGCCAGCCAGACCCAAGGUUCAACUACGAGCUUUUUAACUGCAACAACUUUAAUAUACGCUAUUGGAGCUGGAAUUACCGCGGCUGCUGGCACCAGACUUGCCCUCCAAUUGUUCCUCGUUAAGGGAUUUAAAUUGUUCUCAUUCCAAUUACGAGACCCAAAAGAGCCCCGUAUCAGUAUUUAUUGUCACUACCUCCCCGUAUCGGGAUUGGGUAAUUUGCGCGCCUGCUGCCUUCCUUGGAUGUGGUAGCCGUUUCUCAGGCUCCCUCU
rnacentral:rRNA from 1 species